rnacentral:misc_RNA from 1 species
UCUCCGUAGGUGAACCUGCGGAGGGAUCAUUACAGAGUUCAUGCCCUACCGGGUAGAUCUCCCACCCUAUGUUAUUAUUACUUAGUUGCUUUGGCGGGCCGUUAGGCUCCGGCCCGACUACCGGCCCCGGCUGGUAAGCGCCCGCCAGAGGACCCAAAACCCUGAAUAUUAGUGUCGUCUGAGUACUAUAUAAUAGUCAAAACUUUCAACAACGGAUCUCUUGGUUCUG